GAGAAACUUGGAGGAUGGAGCUCUGCAGUCUGUGUUUAGUAAGCCCUCCUGGUUAUUCUGAUAUGCAGGAGAACCAUGGAAUUAGACACAGACUGUAAUAAUGAAAUGCUAGUGUUAUUUCAAGAAACUUCAACACUCAGACUCACUUAUGCUGAUGAAUAUGACCUGGGCCAAACCUUAAAUAUCUUAUUUCCUUCCACCCUCAUAACACUUCGGAGAGCCUGCCAUCAUUAUUCUUCCGUUCAGAUGAUGACACUGUUCAUGCUCAUUUGAUUGAUGCUGUUAACUGAGUACUUGGAUAUGAAAAAUACUCGUACGGCCUCUGAACCAUCAGCUCAACUAAGCUAUGCCAGCACUGGACGAGAGUUUGCGGCCUUUUUUGCCAAGAAGAAACCUCAAAGGCCAAAAAAUUCUCUUUUCAAGUUCGAAUCGUCCUCCCAUGCCAUCAGUAUGAGCGCCUAUCUGCGAGAACAGAGAAGGGAGCUCUAUAGUCGGAGUGGAGAACUGCAAGGGGGUCCUGAUGACAACUUAAUUGAAGGUGGAGGAACAAAAUUUGUCUGCAAACCUGGAGCCAGAAACAUUACCGUCAUAUUCCACCCAUUACU
rnacentral:sRNA from 1 species